GGUCCCGUAGUGUAGUGGUUAACACGCCUGCCUGUCACGCAGGAGAUCGCGGGUUCGAGUCCCGUCGGGACCG
rfam:Geobacillus sp. WCH70, complete genome.